rnacentral:tRNA from 1 species
AAUAAAAUGGCUGAGUCUAAGCGAUAAAUUGUAAAUUUAUUUACGAAUCUAAAUUCUUUUAUUA